ACUGCUGCACGCAGCGCUCUUGCUUCCCGCUCUCUCUUCAGCUCAGGCUGCAGUGUGUGCACUGUGCCCGUGGAGGUGGUCAGAGGAAGGAAGGAACUCACCAGCAGCCCGGUGUUUUUCUCAUGAGCCUUAGCCUGUUGCCUGCUCGUGGAGGUGGAGCCUUUUGCUUUCAGGAGUUACAGGAGGAGACUAAGCAGCCCUGGGGUGGCAUUUACUUAUAUGUGCUACAAAAAUGGGGGUGAGAAUUCCUGGAUACAUUGAACAUCUGAGCUUGCAAAAGGAUUGACAUUUGGCUAAGUCUUUCAUACAAUAACUGGCUCGCACAGUAAAGAACUCCACAUUUACAGUGGCUCUGCAUCUGCAAAUGUCACCAUGGCACCAUCAGAGAAAUAGCAAUGUGCACCUGAUACCUUCUCUUAACAAGGGUCACUCAAGAGCAUGAUCUAUAGAAAAAGAAAGAAAUCACAUGGUGAAGAAAGAAACUAUUGUCAUGUAUGUCUACGAACAAGCACAGGAUUUCUCACCCCAUGAAUCAUGAUGGCCAACUGAGUCUCCAGGAUAUUUACAAGGGCCAUAAGCGUGUGUUAAUGCAGGGAAGGCAAUUUUCAAGUUAAUAGUAUGUCAUUUGGAAUGCUACAUUGAUACGAUUUGAUCUGAUGACCUGAAAAGUAUUUCCAACUCUAUGAUUCCAACUCUAUGAUUCUUGAAACAAACUAUCAAGGCCUAAUGAGGCACACCUAAAUGGCUGCAAACUACAAGGAAACUCUUCUAACUCCAUUUAACAGAAACCCUUUCAGCUCCACUGUGUGUGUGUUUGUGUGUGUGUGUGUGUGUGUGUGUGUGUGAGAGAGAGAGAGAGAGAGAGAGAGAGAGAGAGAAUGCCUCAGAACUACCAGGUUUUUAAAAUCAUAGUUCAGCCACAAAUGCAAAACUCUGUAGCUCUAUUCACACAUUAUUCAACACAUGUACAAUCAGUAUACAGUGUACAGAAGUUCAUGUACAGUUAUUCACACUUCAUGUUCAAUGCACAUACAGCAGUACACUUUCUCUAUUUUCCCUGCAUUUAAGGGAGCUCGUUCCCAGAUUCAGUUUUAAAAUGAAUACACAUAAAACUAUUUACACAAAAACACAUGCAUGUGUGCAGGCACCUGAACAUGCCUGAAAAGGGCAAAAACAGAAUAGCCUCCCCAAUUUAUGGAAUAGCCUCCUCAGUGAGGCUCACCUGUUGCUGUCACUUCGUUCUUCUAGAUGCCAGGUGAAGAUCUUUCUGUUCACUCAGGCUUUUUAAAACUGAUUUUUAAAACUGAUAUUUAAAAAAAAGUUUUUACAAUGUUUUGUAUUGUAUUUUGUAUUAUUUGUUUGUUGUGUUUUAUGUGUUUCUAUUGGAUGUUUUUAAAGAACAAUUUGUUAUGUUCUUUAGCUGACAAAGAUUAUAAUAAUUAUUUUUACUAUUAUUCAAAUCUGAAAUUAUAUUGUGUCAAUAUCAAAGAUGAGCAGCAGCUAAACCUGGGGCUUAAUAUGGGCAUUUUAUUCUAAGCUUAGCUUCCUGCAUGAACUCUUGGGGGUGCUACAACUGAUGCUGAUAACUUGAUUACACAUAGUAUAUUUGUCACAACAUACCCACAUUUGUAUAACCCUGGCAGCUACUAGUUGGCUACCAGUUAUACUAUUACCAUAUACACAGUAUAUGCUAAUAGAAUUAUUUUUCCUAGAAGAUGAACCAAGACAGUCUAGUUUGUGGGUGGUGGGGAUUGAUUGGGCAAAGAAGCCCGGAGUUAUCUAUUUUGUGGCAAUAUGUUAGCAUGCAUCUUUUGGCUAUUGUCAAUGUUAUGGUGAGCAUUCCUCUCAUAGUUAAUGAAUGUAUAUUUUCUCUGCUGCAAGGGAUGUAUUUGAGCAGCAAUGAAACUACUCACAUAUCUCCCAUAUCUCUAGGUAGUGGGGAGUAAAAAUUACCAAGGAAAAAAAGUAUCAAGAAAAUUUUAGCCUGGCUCAUCACAUAGUUAAUAUAAUAAUAAUAAUAAUAAUAAUAAUAAUAAUAAUAAUAAUAAUAAUUUUUAAAAAGCCAUCACAUUCAGUCAAAACCCAAUAGAAUUUGAUUGAGUCAAACCAGUGAUGGUUGCCAAAAUGAAUG